GAUUAAGUUAUUAAGGGCGCACGGUGGAUGCCUUGGCACUAGAAGCCGAUGAAGGACGUUACUAACGACGAUAUGCUUUGGGGAGCUGUAAGUAAGCUUUGAUCCAGAGAUUUCCGAAUGGGGAAACCCAGCAUGAGUUAUGUCAUGUUAUCGAUAUGUGAAUACAUAGCAUAUCAGAAGGCACACCCGGAGAACUGAAACAUCUUAGUACCCGGAGGAAGAGAAAGAAAAUUCGAUUCCCUUAGUAGCGGCGAGCGAAACGGGAAGAGCCCAAACCAACAAGCUUGCUUGUUGGGGUUGUAGGACACUCUAUACGGAGUUACAAAGGACGACAUUAGACGAAUCAUCUGGAAAGAUGAAUCAAAGAAGGUAAUAAUCCUGUAGUCGAAAAUGUUGUCUCUCUUGAGUGGAUCCUGAGUACGACGGAGCACGUGAAAUUCCGUCGGAAUCUGGGAGGACCAUCUCCUAAGGCUAAAUACUCUCUAGUGACCGAUAGUGAACCAGUACCGUGAGGGAAAGGUGAAAAGCACCCCGGAAGGGGAGUGAAAUAGAACCUGAAACCGUGUGCUUACAAGUAGUCAGAGCCCGUUAAUGGGUGAUGGCGUGCCUUUUGUAGAAUGAACCGGCGAGUUACGAUUUGAUGCAAGGUUAAGCAGUAAAUGUGGAGCCGUAGCGAAAGCGAGUCUGAAUAGGGCGUUUAGUAUUUGGUCGUAGACCCGAAACCAGGUGAUCUACCCUUGGUCAGGUUGAAGUUCAGGUAACACUGAAUGGAGGACCGAACCGACUUACGUUGAAAAGUGAGCGGAUGAACUGAGGGUAGCGGAGAAAUUCCAAUCGAACCUGGAGAUAGCUGGUUCUCUCCGAAAUAGCUUUAGGGCUAGCCUCAAGUGAUGAUUAUUGGAGGUAGAGCACUGUUUGGACGAGGGGCCCCUCUCGGGUUACCGAAUUCAGACAAACUCCGAAUGCCAAUUAAUUUAACUUGGGAGUCAGAACAUGGGUGAUAAGGUCCGUGUUCGAAAGGGAAACAGCCCAGACCACCAGCUAAGGUCCCAAAAUAUAUGUUAAGUGGAAAAGGAUGUGGCGUUGCCCAGACAACUAGGAUGUUGGCUUAGAAGCAGCCAUCAUUUAAAGAGUGCGUAAUAGCUCACUAGUCGAGUGACACUGCGCCGAAAAUGUACCGGGGCUAAACAUAUUACCGAAGCUGUGGAUUGUCCUUUGGACAAUGGUAGGAGAGCGUUCUAAGGGCGUUGAAGCAUGAUCGUAAGGACAUGUGGAGCGCUUAGAAGUGAGAAUGCCGGUGUGAGUAGCGAAAGACGGGUGAGAAUCCCGUCCACCGAUUGACUAAGGUUUCCAGAGGAAGGCUCGUCCGCUCUGGGUUAGUCGGGUCCUAAGCUGAGGCCGACAGGCGUAGGCGAUGGAUAACAGGUUGAUAUUCCUGUACCACCUAUAAUCGUUUUAAUCGAUGGGGGGACGCAGUAGGAUAGGCGAAGCGUGCGAUUGGAUUGCACGUCUAAGCAGUAAGGCUGAGUAUUAGGCAAAUCCGGUACUCGUUAAGGCUGAGCUGUGAUGGGGAGAAGACAUUGUGUCUUCGAGUCGUUGAUUUCACACUGCCGAGAAAAGCCUCUAGAUAGAAAAUAGG
rnacentral:rRNA from 1 species